CUCGUUUGCGAUGUUCCGUUAUCUGGAUGCGGCGGAGGGAUCUGGCGGAGGGAGGUGUUUAUGAGGCGCUGGGGGCGGAGGAGGCGAAUUAGUCCGAGUGGAGAGAGCGAGCUGAGUGGUUGUGUGGUCGCGUCUCGGAAACCGGUAGCGCUUGCAGCAUGGCUGACCAACUGACUGAAGAGCAGAUUGCAGAGUUUGUACAAAUGAUGACAGCAAAGUGAAGACCUUGUACAGAAUGUGUUAAAUUUCUUGUACAAAAUUGUUUAUUUGCCUUUUCUUUGUUUGUAACUUAUCUGUAAAAGGUUUCUCCCUACUGUCAAAAAAAUAUGCAUGUAUAGUAAUUAGGACUUCAUUCCUCCAUGUUUUCUUCCCUUAUCUUACUGUCAUUGUCCUAAAACCUUAUUUUAGAAAAUUGAUCAAGUAACAUGUUGCAUGUGGCUUACUCUGGAUAUAUCUAAGCCCUUCUGCACAUCUAAACUUAGAUGGAGUUGGUCAAAUGAGGGAACAUCUGGGUUAUGCCUUUUUUAAAGUAGUUUUCUUUAGGAACUGUCAGCAUGUUGUUGUUGAAGUGUGGAGUUGUAACUCUGCGUGGACUAUGGACAGUCAACAAUAUGUACUUAAAAGUUGCACUAUUGCAAAACGGGUGUAUUAUCCAGGUACUCGUACACUAUUUUUUUGUACUGCUGGUCCUGUACCAGAAACAUUUUCUUUUAUUGUUACUUGCUUUUUAAACUUUGUUUAGCCACUUAAAAUCUGCUUAUGGCACAAUUUGCCUCAAAAUCCAUUCCAAGUUGUAUAUUUGUUUUCCAAUAAAAAAAUUACAAUUUACCCAAUGGUUGCUCUGCAUCUGAGUCAUUUAACUGUUGAAGUCUAAUAAUUUUGAAAAUAAAAUAUGGCAUUGGUUUCUGCUUGGUA
rnacentral:lncRNA from 1 species